rnacentral:sRNA from 1 species
GAGCGUGUUUACAUCCGCCGGGUGCGCGGCGUCGCCGCCCGAGGUCGUUCGGCUCGGGUACCAUCCUCCGCGCCAUGGACACCAGCGACCUGUUCGCCAGCUGCAGGAAGGGGGAUGUGGGCCGAGUGCGGUACCUGCUGGAGCAGCGAGACGUGGAGGUGAAUGUGCGGGACAAGUGGGACAGCACCCCCUUGUACUAUGCCUGCUUGUGUGGGCACGAGGAGCUGGUACUCUACCUUCUGGCCAAUGGAGCCCGCUGCGAGGCCAACACCUUCGAUGGUGAGCGCUGCCUCUAUGGGGCACUGAGUGACCCCAUCCGCCGGGCUCUACGUGAUUACAAGCAGGUCACGGCUUCCUGCAGGAGGCGGGAUUACUAUGACGACUUCUUGCAGCGGUGAGCCAGGGCACAUGAGGGGUGCAGCAUGGGGUGCGGUGGCCCUGGUGGGUGUGGCGAGUCUGCUCUGACUGUGGCCUGCACUGGGUUCUGAGUGCUCCGAGGAAUGGGGUGGGGCUGUGCCAAGUAUCCUCCCUCCUGGCUUGUCCCUCCCCAGGCUUCUAGAGCAGGGCAUCCACAGUGACGUGGUCUUUGUAGUACACGGGAAGCCAUUCCGGGUGCAUCGCUGCAUCCUGGGUGCACGUAGUGCCUACUUUGCGAACAUGCUGGACACCAAAUGGAAGGGCAAGAGUGUCGUGGUUCUCAGGCACCCACUGGUAU